AGAUUGAACGCUGGCGGCAUGCUUUACACAUGCAAGUCGUGCGGCAGCGCGGGGGCAACCCUGGCGGCGAGCGGCGAACGGGUGAGGAAUACAUCGGAACGUACCCCGGAGUGGGGGAUAACCCAGCGAAAGUUGGACUAAUACCGCAUAUGCUCUGAGGAGGAAAGCAGGGGACUUCGCAAGAGGCCUUGCGCUCUGGGAGCGGCCGAUGUCCGAUUAGCUAGUUGGUGGGGUAAUGGCUCACCAAGGCGACGAUCGGUAGCUGGUCUGAGAGGAUGAUCAGCCACACUGGGACUGAGACACGGCCCAGACUCCUACGGGAGGCAGCAGUGGGGAAUUUGGACAAGUGGGGCAACCUGAUCCAGCCAUGCCGCGUGGCGGGAAGACGGCCGUUCGGUUGUAAACCGCGUUUUUGGCGGGAAGAAGGCGAGGUCUUGAAGUACGGUCCGUGUUCUUUGACGUU
rnacentral:rRNA from 1 species